CUUGUUAACACUCUAGAGGCCACAUUUAUUGUCUGAUCAUCAUGAAACUUUGUCCGAAGAUUUGUCCCAAUGAUAUCUUGGAUGAGGUCAAAAAUGGUACAAAUACGUACAGACUUUAAUGAUAAACACUAGUCUGGCCAAUGUCGUCUUACAAGCUGGUAUAUACACUCACUGCUAGAGCAGAAUCAUUUGUCAUCUGUUGCAGACAGGCAGUGGUGAUCGUUCUUAGCAAAUUGAGUUGCGCUUCUUUCCGUAGCUAAGGCUUCUAAGCACACACUGAUUUGCAAAAUAUGCUCUGUAAAUUCUAAAAUGCGACCAACUAAAAACAAACCCUUUGCCAACUUCUAGGUCAAAGGUUAAGUUUGAACAUCAUGAUUCCUUUUAAAUGGCAAAUGAUAUUCGCGUACGAUCUUACAACUGUAACUCCCUAUUCCCAACUCGGCAUUUUCAUCAAAGGGCAUGAAGGGUGUCCAAGGUUGACAGGUUGGAAUCUUUGAAUGGCAGGGUGCUGCGCCCUUCCAUUCAUGCCAAGCUGGAGCACUGGUUUUGAUGGUGUUUCACUUGUAACACACCCAGCAGUAUGACCCAUUAUAUUUAUCAACAUGGCUAAAAUGAGGCCAAAAUAAUUGUUAAAUGCCCUUUGUUUAUUUCCAAAGACAUGGAUGGAUCAUCUUUGUCUCUGAAUAUAUUAUAAAUACUCGUGUUGUUGAUUUUGUCCUGUUUGCUUAUUGCAGGAAAACUGUUAACGCAUUAUGUUGUGAAGACUCCUCUGUAAUCAGACAGCUAGCAGUAUUAUGAUUAUCAAAUAUUAAAAUUUGACUUAACAAUAUAGCGCUUCAAAUUAUAUAAGACUUUAUUUUUGUUUCAGAUAUUUUCCAGUUUCCCCUCACAACAAUUUGCAUCAAACCUCUUGUCUGCUCCUCAGCUGAAAUCAUCAUCUAGCAGUCACAAUAGUUGAGCGGUUGGAGAGGCAUGCAUUCCGUCCUACUACUGCUCAGACUAUAUCAUGUUUGGCAGACAAAACAUGCUGAUCAAAAAGAAUGUGUACCACAGGGGCCAGUGUUUCCAUUUGAGUGAUUGACAAGAAGAAGAAGAGAUGAGAAAUGUUAUCAUCAUAUUUUAGUCCCUACAUUUAUAGUGUACAGCUCAAUGUAUUGAACCGGUGUUGUAGAAUAUAAUUGGAGAUACAUGCGAACAUUAUAACAUUAUAUAUAAGAUGAUAUUUCAAAAGCAAUAAGAAAUAAAAAGUAUAAAAAGGUCAAAACAGUAAACCUUGUGUUUACAGUGGACAGGUUUAAAGUGGAAGUGACUAGUUAACUGUUGAUCAUAAGCUGCACUGAUGGAAAAAAUUGUGGGAAAUUACUAUCUAGAAAACUGUUUAACGUACGACAACAGUUGUGGAACUUCAUAAAUGACCGUAUGUAACAGGGCUGGGCAGUUUUCCUUAUAUUGCUAUAGUGAAACCUUUUGAACACUAGUGAAGUCACUGUUUUUUUUCCAAUCUUCAUGCAUUUUGGUCGAAUAUGUGUUCAAAUGAUGGCUCAGUCCAGUUUCGAAAUUUUUAUGUCUAUUCAAAAAACAUAUCCACUAGAGCACGAGGCAAUUGUCUUUAUAUGGCUAUAAUGAAACCUUGUAAAUUCUCUAGAAGUGACAUUUUUAGCCAUAUCUCCAUAAAUUUUGGUCAGAAUAUUUAUUCUAAUGAUAGCUCAGUUGUCGAGUUUGUAACUGGUUCCGGUUUGUAGACUAACAUGGCUGCCAGUGGACAUGACAGUUUUUCUUAAAGUGCUAGAGUAGAACCUUGUUAACACACAAUUGGCCCUUUUUAUGUGCAUUUUUCAUGAAAGAUGAUCAGAGCAUUUGGCCCAAUGUAAUCUCAGCUGACUUUGAAACUGGAUCACAUAACGUCAAAAAGUGGGUCAAAAUGUCAAAUUAAAAAAAGCUUGUAAACACUGGAAGUUGCAUUUAAAAUUGUGUUCCUUUUUUAUGUCCCCCACUAUAGUAGUGGGGGACAUAUUGUUUUUGCCCUGUCUGUUGGUUGGUCUGUUGGUUGGUUGGUUUGCGCCAACUUUAAUAUUUGCAAUAACUUUUGCAAUAUUGAAGAUAGGAACUUGAUAUUUUGCAUGCAUAUGUAUCUCAUGGAGCUGCACAUUUUGAGUGGUGAAAGGUCAAGGUCAUCCUUCAAGGUCAAACGUCAAAUAUAUGGGUCAAAAUCGCUCAUUUAAUGUACACUUUUGCAGUAUUUCAAUAUUCAAGAUAGCAACUUGAUAUUUGGCAUGCAUGUGUAUCUCAUGGAGCUGCACAAUUUGAGUGGUGAAAGGUUAAGUUCAUCCUUCAAGGUCAGAUGUCAAAUAUAUGUGGCCCAAAUCGCUAAUUUUAUGAAUACUUUUUCUAUAUUGAAGAUAGCAACUUGAUAUUUGGCAUGCAUGUGUAUCUCAUGGAUCUGCACAUUUUGAGUGGUGAAAGGUCAAGGUCAUCCUUCAAGGUCAGAGGUCAAAUAUAUGUGGCCCAAAUCGCUAAUUUUAUGAAUACUUUUUCUAUAUUGAAGAUAGCAACUUGAUAUUUGGCAUGCAUGUGUAUCUCAUGUGAAAGGUCAAGGUCAUCAUUCAAGGUCAAAUAUAUGGGUCAAAAUUGAUCAUGUAAUGUCACUUCUGCAAUAUUGAAGCUAGCAAUUUUAUAUUUGAAAUGCAUGUGUAUCUCAUGGAGCUGCACAUUUUGAGUGGUGAAGGGUCAAGGUCAUCCUACAAGGUCAAACGUCAUAUAGGGGGACAUUGUGUUUCACAAACACAUCUUGUUUAAAGUUUGUCAAAACAUUUGCUGUAAUGAUAAGCAAAGUCAAGUUUAUAAAUGAUCAUUUGCCUACAAAUUACAUAUUUUUCAUCAAGUUCAUUUAUUAUUCUAAACUACACCCUCUCAGAAUAGUUUAGUUACUUCUGGUCACAGUUGAGCACCUUAGGGCUCUUGUUCUAUAAUUUGAUUGUUUUGGAAAAUUGUCAUUUUGCCAAAAUGUGAGCAAGUCCAAAUUUUAUUAACCCUGCUUUGUAGUAUCUUGUUUUCCUUAUAUGUAUAAAGUGGAAAAUUAUCUAUGAAUCUGACUGCAUAGAUAUUUGGUAUUCAGCAAAGCAUCGUGUAAAUGUAGUUAAACUAAACACAAUUGUGUUAGCAUAAAACUGGCCAUGCCAUGGGGGUCAAAUGGUUAAUACAGACUUGUAGGAAAAAGACUUCUAAAAAUUUUAUCCGUUAAAUAUAUUUUGUGUACAUAAUGAUUAGCUUUUUCCUUCAACUUAUCGCUUUCAUGGUGUAAAGAAAACAUGCCGACUUACUAAGUAAGUCGGAGAUCUGGGUUUGAUUCCCAGUGAAAGUCAAGUCACAAGGAAAAAUGCUUAUUGUUGGAAGGAUUUAUUAGUUAUUCAAAACGUAAGAUUUUUUUCUUUGCUCGUUCAGUUACAAAUAACAGCAAAUGAUCUGAAAGUAUUUGUUUAUAACGUAGAAGUUAGUGUCAUGAAUAGUAAAUUGGAAUAAUGCACUUAAUAGAAACUAUACAUAUUGUAUAUAAGACUAAA